rnacentral:rRNA from 1 species
CUACGGGGGGCUGCAGUGGGGAAUCUUGCACAAUGGAGGAAACUCUGAUGCAGCGAUGCCGCGUGAGUGAAGAAGGCCCUUGGGUUGUAAAGCUCUUUUGUCGGGAAAGAUAAUGACUGUACCCGAAGAAUAAGGUCCGGCUAACUUCGUGCCAGCAGCCGCGGUAAUACGAAGGGACCUAGCGUAAUUCGGAAUUACUGGGCGUAAAGCGCGCGUAGGCGGUUAAGUAAGUUAAUUGUGAAAGCCCAAAGCUCAACUUUGGAAUUGCAAUUAAAACUAUUUAGCUAGAGUUUAUCAGAGGAAAGCGGAAUACAUAGUGUAGAGGUGAAAUUCGUAGAUAUUAUGUAGAACACCAGUUGCGAAGGCGGCUUUCUGGGAUAAUACUGACGCUGAGGUGCGAAAGUAUGGGUAGCGAAGAGGAUUAGAUACUCCGGUAGUC